UUUUUUUUUUUGGGAAGCUCGAUUUUUAUUUACUUUCGUCUCUCUCUCUUUCUCUGGCGAUCACAAUCCCGAAACGAGAAAAGAUGAAAUUUGAAUGUGUUUGGAAUCGAAGGAGAAGGUUCACUUCCUCUGUUUCGAAAUUGUAAGGGUUACUUCGAUUCACACUCUUCUUCUUCGUCUCCGUCUCCAGCUUGACAAUGCCUCGCUAUGAUGACCGCUAUGGAAACACUCGUCUCUAUGUUGGCCGUUUAUCAUCUAGGACUCGUACCAGGGAUCUUGAACGUCUUUUUAGCAGAUACGGAAGGUGUUGUGUUGUGUUGAUGUGAACUUUAUCUGUUUUACCAUGGAAGGUAUGGAACGAGGUGAUGAGAUCGCUCCGAGUCUCGUCGCAGCCAUGGAAGACUCUGCUGCUUCCGUCGUUGUUUGAUCACUUAGGUACGCUGAUUCUCACUGGUGCCUUGAUACAUUAGCUACGCUCUGUCAUCUUAGAGCUUCUCUGAAACGUCCGAUGAUUCCAAUUUUUUACGAGGUCGAUCCUUCUCAUGUCCGCAAACAGAGCGAUCGUAAGGAUUUUGUGAAACACUCGAAUAGAUUUGGUGAGGAGAAGAUUGAGAGAUGGAGAGGUGCUAUGAAAUUAGUUGGGAAUCUCUCUGGUUUUGUUUGGAGAGAAGACUGUGUUGAUGAUGAUAUGAUUGGGCUUGUGGUGAAGAGAGUUUUAGCUGAAGUGAGCAAUACACCAGAGACAGUGGGAGAAUACACUGUUGGCUGGAAUCACGUGUCAAGGAUUUGAUGGAUGUGUUUGAUGUUGAAUCCAGUUCUGGCGUUCAAGUCCUGGGGCUUUACGGUAUGGCUGGUAUUUGGAAGACGACUCUUUCAAAAGCUUUCUAUAACAAGAUCAUUCGGAACUUUAGUCGCAGAGUUUUCAUCAAAAAUGUUAGAGAAAGAUCAUCGGACCAAGACGGCUUAGUCAAUCUACUUCUAUAUCAAGUUUGAGUUUCAUAUUUACUAUCUCUAGUUUAACAAGUUUGAGUUUCAUAUUUACUAUCAAAUCUCAAAAAACAAUUUUUUCAAAAAAUAAAUGCUUGCAAGAUGAUUUGGCUGAGAAUAUUUGGGAAAAAUUUGGAGGUAAUCAGAAUUAAAAUUAAUCAUUCUUUCCA